GAAAUGCGAUAAGUAAUGUGAAUUGCAGAAUUCAGUGAAUCAUCGAAUCUUUGAACACACUUUGCGCCCAUUAGUAUUCUAGUGGGCAUGCCUGUUCGAGCGUCAUUUCAACCCCUAAGCACAGCUUAUUGUUGGGCGUCUACGUCUGUAGUGCCUCAAAGACAUUGGCGGAGCGGCAGCAGUCCUCUGAGCGUAGUAAUUCUUUAUCUCGCUUCUGUUAGGCGCUGCCCCCCCGGCCGUAAAACCCCCAAUUUUUUCUGGUUGACCUCGGAUCAGGUAGGAAUACCCGCUGAACUUAAGC
rnacentral:misc_RNA from 1 species